UUGAGAAGCCCAGGUGUUGCCUCACUCUAACCUCAUUAGGACCAGGUCACAGUGGCCUCUCCAGACCCAGCAUCUGUCCCCUGACAGGCUGUCCAGGCCAAAACGUCUUCUAGUCACCGUCUUCAGGCACAGCUUCUGUCUCACACUGGACUCUUUAGGUACAGCUCAUGCCUUUCGGCAGCCUCUUGAGGCCCAGUUCCUGUAUCUCUGUGGCCUCUCCGGACUGACAGAUUUCUCAAAUCUGCCAUUCCAGGUCCAACUCCUGCUUCCAGUCGGCCCCAAUAGGUUUAAACUCUGCCUCACAGCAGACACCCCAGGCCAAGCGUGUGCCUCACCACAGUGCCCCCAGGCCAAGCUUCUGCCUUUCGGCAGCAUCUGCAGGCCCAGCUACUGCCUCCCAAUGGCCUGUCUAGGUGAAGCUCAUGCAUCACAAUGGCCAUUCUGAUCAAGCUUUUACUUUUUGGCAGCGUCUCCACGCCCAGAACUUCCUGAAGUGGGCCCUCCCAUGCCCAGCAUUGGCCUGCUGGCAUCCUCUCUGGGCCCAGAACGUCUUCAGGUUCGGCUCCUGCCCUCCCAGGGCAUCUCCAGGCCUCGGAUGUUUCCGAGUCGGCUUCUGCUGGCCCGGCUCCUGCUGCCUCAUCAUGCUGGCCUCGGGAGGCCCAAGCAUUGGGUCCUGAAGUUUAUCUCUGCAGGCCCAGCUUCUGCCUUCCCGGCAGCCCCCCAACAUGGGCUCCUCCAGGGCAAGCUCCUGCCUCCCAACGGCCGCCUGGGACACAGCUCCUGCCUUCUGUCAGCCUCUUCGCGAGGCCCAGCCUCUGCCUCCCUACUGCCGGCCCCCACACACCCGGAUCAUCAUCCUGGCUGCGUCUAUCUGCCAAUGUUUUGCCCCCUGGCGGCCUCUUUUGGCUCGGCGCCUGGCCAGCUCCCGACGGCCUCUCGUCUGUCGGCCCGAAGCUUCCUUGGGGAUUUCGGGGUGUCCCUUCUGCCUCCCGGUGGCCUAGACAGGCCCAGCUACAUCCUGACAUCGGCCUCUCCAUGCCCACUUCUGGCCUCCCUACAGCACCCCCAGCACCAUCCACUGUGUGCCGGCCGCUUCCCCAGGCCAAGAUCCUGCCUACCUCCCGACUUCGUCCACAAACCCAGCGCCUCCCUCACACUGGCCAGUUGAGGCCCAGCUUGGCCUCUAGCACAUGUCUCUGGACCCAGAUCUCACCUGGUGCUGGCCUUGAUUCUGGGCCCAGGUCCUCCCUCGCACCGGCCUUUCUCGGCCCAGCUCGCCUCUCAUAAACUCUCCGGCCAGCUCCUACCUCCCAGCGGCCUGUCCAGGCCCGAAGCUUCCUCUCCGGGCCCAGCCUCUCCAGGCCUGGCUCCUGCCUGCGCUAAGCCCCUCUGGGCCCAGCCUCCACCUAACAGUGGACCCUCCAGACCCAGCUUAUGGCCUCAUCAUGGUCUGCGCUCAGCCCAGCUCCUGCCUCUGUGGCAGCCUGUCUCCACAGGCCCAGCUCCUGGCCUCCUGGUGGCCCCAUCGGGCCAAACCGGUGCCCCCAGGCGGCCCUCUGUGCCUAGCGUUGGCCUUCUGGCAUCCUCUCCUUGUCCAGAAUGUCAGCCUCUUUGGUCCCGGCCCCUCCUUCUGGCAGCUUCUUAGGGCCAACCUUUUGUCCUCACCUCGCAGCAACCUCUGUUGCUCGGCUCCUCCCUAGCUCCUGGAGGCCUUUGUAGGACCAAAAGCUCAGGCCCUCGACUCAGGCUUUCCAGGACUACCCAGCUCAUGCCUCAUGCUGGCCUCUCCAGGCUCAGGUUUUGCCCACCCAGGGUUCCUAUAGGCCCCAGAUGUCCCAGAGUC
rnacentral:lncRNA from 13 species